AUUGAACGCUGGCGGCAGGCUUAACACAUGCAAGUCGAGCGGUAACAGAGAGAAGCUUGCUUCUCUGCUGACGAGCGGCGGACGGGUGAGUAAUGCCUAGGAAUCUGCCUAGUAGUGGGGGAUAACUUGCCGAAAGGUAAGCUAAUACCGCAUACGUCCUACGGGAGAAAGGAGGGGACCUUCGGGCCUUUCGCUAUUAGAUGAGCCUAGGUCGGAUUAGUCAGUUGGUGAGGUAAUGGCUCACCAAGACCGCGAUCCGUAACUGGUCUGAGAGGAUGAUCAGUCACACUGGAACUGAGACACGGUCCAGACUCCUGCGGGAGGCAGCAGUGGGGAAUAUUGGACAAUGGGGGGAACCCUGAUCCAGCCAUGCCGCGUGUGUGAAGAAGGUCUUAGGAUUGUAAAGCACUUUAAGUUGGGAGGAAGAGCAGUUAACUAAUAUUUGACUGUUUUGACGUUACCGACAGAAUAAGCACCGGCUAACUUCGUGCCAGCCGCCGCAGUAA
rnacentral:rRNA from 1 species